UAAUCAUAAUAUUAAUAUAAUAUUAAAAUAUGCAACCAAAGUUAGAUAGUAUACAUUUAUCGUAUUUAUUCUUAUUUGUUUCCUCGCGAUCUAAAAAGUCAUCUCUGAAGGCCACUUGUCGGCGCAACACAUCAUACAAAGGUUUCCAGAUCUUUUAAUAAUUUCUCGAGAGAACGCCGCCUCGUUCGUUUCGCAAGUAUUAGACUCUUAUAGCACCGUAGUCACUGAUUUAGUAUCAAGCAAGUCCGUGUACAUUUGUUUUCGAGCCUGUGUAAGAUAAGCGGUCCCCCGGCGCGACACUUCUCAGCCGUGAGAAGGAGAAGGUCCUCUCUCUCUCGUGUGCUGUAAGCUAGCUACUCGACGUGUUCGCCCAUGGGAUUAUCGCAUACGGAGAUUUACGGGACACGCCGGUAUCCCACAACAGGAUAACGCGGCUUGGUAAUAGCUGGACCCAGCGAUCCUAUUACGUCUCAAAGCCAAGGGACUACUGUCGCCGAUGGGACCGACGUGUCGGCCAAUUAGCUCGCAACGGCCGAAAUAUUCGCAUUACCACGGAAUCAUAAUCUAUCUAUUCGAUAUAUUCGAUGAGCACAAGAAAGAAUUGUUUAAAUUUAAGAUGUGAAAGUGUUUAUUGACGUUGCUCUAAAAUUAAAGAUGUUCUUCGAGCUUGAAAAAUCCAGGAAGAAAGAAACCUUUUGCAAGACGCAAAAGUAGCAAUUUGAGAAAAAUCUCGAGUUGAUUGCAAAUAGCAUAUUUGUUAUCCCGAUACUAAUGCAGAAUCACUAAUGUGCAAAGUUUCAUAUGUAAUAUAAAUUAAUAUAUCUGAGAUACUGUAAUUUUUAGAAAAAUAUGUAGAUCCUUCAAAAGAAUUGUCACUUUCAAGCAAUUUUGCAGAUUUUUUACAAUUUUAAUUACGUUUUAAUGCAUGUAUAACAGAUUCUACUGUCAUUAUAUUUAGUUUUUUCUUCUUGACGUUUCUUCUUUUUUAAUUUUUGACAAAGAGAAAGAAGUUAUACAACAGAUAAUUUUUAUUAUUUUUAAUAAAUUUGAUCUUCAGUGACUCUAUUAUGAUUUCCAAACUUUGAAGAAAUAAGAUUGAGAGUGAUGAGACACAAUUAUGAAUUAUCUCUUUUUUUACCAGAUUUACGAAAUAUGUAUUGAAAAUGAAAGUUGCCUAAAGUUUUGUCUCUAUUAUAGUUUUUAAUGAUAGAUCGAAACAUUUAUUUAGAGACGUCAUCCAGUGGCAUUCAGUUUAUUUAAAGUGAUAAGUAAAAUAUUAUUAUAUACUAUUUAAGUAAAAAGCUUGUUUCUUACAUGGACGAUUUGACAAUGAGAUUUAUGUCCAUCACUUGCCAUUCUCGUAUUAAUCUUCAAUUAUAUUCUCAUGUAAGCUUUCGUAAUUUUUUCCUUAUAUUUUUCAUCUACGUUAAUCGCUCAUAGUAAUUCUCAUUUCGACAACGAUGUUAUAAAAGAAAUGUUACGGAAAUUAACACCUGUCAUACGAAAGAGUGAAACAUAUGCGAGAGAUUUUUUCAAGAUACCGAUAAUUCCCGGUUUCCGCGAAGUUUAAAUCAAUUUUCUUACGCUACAGGCAUAUUAGAAGAAUCCGGUAUCGUCAAUAAAUAAUGAUCUCGACUAACUCCCGCAAUUAGCAAGUGAACAAGAUGUAGAAGAUAACGACUGGGAUAGCGCAAUUAAUUCUGGCUGACACGGAUGGUCGUUAGCAUCGUCUCGAGAAUAUAUGGAAUCUUCAUCUUCUUUAUAAUUCCGAAUACGUAAUCAUUGUUCUGUCACGACUUAAUUCAAUUCGAAAUAAUGUGAGCAAAGCGCGACUCCCUGCUUUCUCUCUCAAGUGAUACGUGACAGUUCCUUGUAGUCUAAGUAUAUAAAAGCGGACCUUUUACAUAAUUAACUUGCGCGAGAGCGAUAUUAUCCUUUUCAAUGCGUGAGUGCGUGCGUGCGUGCGCAAAAGCGUCGACGCGCGUUUCCUUUUCCGCGGACAGUUUCUCAUCUCGAAUCACCGUCACAGAGAUUUCCCGGAAACCGACGACGGGAUACCCGGCGGCACGAAAAACGCGGGAGCACUUGAGAACAAUGAUGUCGCGCUGCUAGGAAUUGUUCACGGUAAAAUCGCCGUGCGGACGGCUAUUUCUCUCUGGCAAACUUCUUGCUCCCAUGGGUAAGAGGAGACAGGAUUGCCUUUCUGCUACAGAGAAAUCUUGUAUUAAAAAUCUAGAGAUACAUUUACGUGUGACUGAGUAACAUCGUACGAUAUCGUUAUAUAUUUUAAUGAAACCCUGUCAUGUGAUACAAACUAUAUUUUGUGUAAAAAUUUAUAUCUCGAGAAAAUGUCUUAUAAUAUCGAUAUCAUUGUGAACGAUUCAAAUAGUAGAGCUUUAAAGAACAGAGAGAAAAAAGAGCUUUAUCCGUAUUCUUCUCGAGUCUAGAAGUCAGCGGAUUCAUACGAAAUAUAUUCAGUAUAUUUACGCAUGUUUCAACCUACAUAUGGGUUAACAAAGGACUCCUUGUGUAUGCGACCUUCGUCGUGAAGUGCCUGCUUUCCAUAAACACGACUUUUCGCCAUCGUGAUGUCAAAGAUCAGCAACAAAGAUACCAUAAAUCGCGUUCCUUUUUUUUUUAGCAUAAUCAGAAGUUAUCGCGCCGAUAAACGGAUUGAAAUUAGCUCAUUAGUGAUUUUGCACUGGUAUCGCGAUAACAAAUAUGCUAUUUGCAAUCAACUCGAGAUUUUUCUCAAAAGUCUACUUUCGUAUCUUGCAAAAAGUUUCUUUUUUCCUGGAUUUUUCAAGCUCGAAAAAAACAUCUUUAAUUUUAGAGGAAUGUCGAUAAACUUUCACACCUUAAGUUUAAACAAUCAUUUCUUUCUUUACAGAAUUGAAAUUAAGAAACAAAGAGUAACUUCAACCAUGACUAAAAUUACAAAGUACAAUAGUUAAUAAAAUAAUCGGUGCUGAUGAAACUAGUCGUAAAUCCCUGAUUGUAUAUGAUGUAUAAUUGAUUUCUCUCGAACUCUCUUAACUUAUGAAUGAAAACUAUACAGGAACGAGACUUUGUACUUAACAGCUAUUACUUAGCCGAUCCUAAAUUGGAUUUAUACGAAAGUCGAAAUCCUGUCGCAAGUUUCUACCUAUUCUGUCCGCGAGCGAGUCUAUCGUGCACACGUGGACGAGGAUAAAGCAAAUCCCCGAGGGGGUAUGUAUGUUGCGUGUGAAUAACCCCGCUAACCUUUCGCAGAAAUCAUAUCGAUUCAAUGUAUAGCUCUUUAUAUUUAGAGAAAUUCAGAGAUUUGCGACAGACGUUGCGUAUGGAAAGAAAUGAAAGAAAAAGAGAAUUAUUGAAUUAUAUAUAAUAACGUGCGCAUUGAUAAUGUUGUUUGCCGCGAAGAAAAUAGUUGACUAAUUUAUUGCUUUCAUGAAUGAUUAUCGCGGAAAUAAAUUAAGAGAACAUCAAACAAAAAGGUGAGCUUGCAAAAAAAAAAAAAA